rnacentral:rRNA from 1 species
GACGAACGCUGGCGGCGUGCUUAACACAUGCAAGUCGAACGGGCCUUGUCCCCUUUUUUUUUGGGGGUGGGGUUAGUGGCGAACGGGUGAGUAACACGUGAGUAACCUGCCCCUCACUUCUGGAUAACCGCUUGAAAGGGUGGCUAAUACGGGGUGUUCUGGCCUGCUCGCAUGGGUGGGUUUGGAAAGAUUCGACCGGUUUUGGUUGUUUUGGUGGGGGAUGGGCUCGCGGCCUAUCAGCUUGUUGGUGGGGUGAUGGCCUGCCAAGGCUUUGACGGGUAGCCGGCCUGAGAGGGUGGGCGGUCACACUGGGACUGAGACACGGCCCAGACUCCUACGGGAGGCAGCAGUGGGGAAUAUUGCACAAUGGGCGCAAGCCUGAUGCAGCGACGCCGCGUGAGGGAUGGAGGCCUUCGGGUUGCGAACCUCUUUCGCCAGUGAAGAAGGUCCUGCUCUUUGUGGUGGGGUUGACGGUAGCUGGGUUAAUGAAGCGCCGGCUAACUACGUG